rnacentral:rRNA from 1 species
UGGGGAAUAUUGCACAAUGGGCGCAAGCCUGAUGCAGCCAUGCCGCGUGUAUGAAGAAGGCCUUCGGGUUGUAAAGUACUUUCAGCGGGGGGGAAGGGGUUGAGGCUAAUAACCUCAGCAAUUGACGUUACCCGCAGAAGAAGCACCGGCUAACUCCGUGCCAGCAGCCGCGGUAAUACGGAGGGGGCAAGCGUUAAUCGGAAUUACUGGGCGUAAAGCGCACGCAGGCGGUCUGUCAAGUCGGAUGUGAAAUCCCCGGGCUCAACCUGGGAACUGCAUUCGAAACUGGCAGGCUAGAGUCUUGUAGAGGGGGGUAGAAUUCCAGGUGUAGCGGUGAAAUGCGUAGAGAUCUGGAGGAAUACCGGUGGCGAAGGCGGCCCCCUGGACAAAGACUGACGCUCAGGUGCGAAAGCGUGGGGAGCAAACA